rnacentral:lncRNA from 1 species
UAUAAAUAAAUAUUCCAAACUUAUAAGAGAGAAAAAACCAAAUCGUGACAUCAAUUUUAUAUAUGAUUCAUCUGACAUGACAGAGCACGAGGAGGGUGAUGAAUCAGCGCAAGUUUAUCAUGGCAAACAAGACUUUCAAAAGGAAGCAAGACUGCUCCAAUAUCCUAUCUAUGAUUCAUCGAAUGACCUUUCUCUGCCGGCAUUGACAGCGAAAAAAUUUAAAGAACAACAAUAUGAAAAUUAUGUAAUAAACCAAAACCAGCAAGAUGUCUUGCAUAGUCUAUCUGAUAGCAGAAACGAUACUCUAUUUGUAGACAAAGGUAAGGAUAUAUUAGCAAAACAGAUUUGUGAAAUGUUCAUUAUUACA